rnacentral:tRNA from 1 species
GCAGUCGUGGCCCCGUGGUUAAGGCGAUGGACUAGAAAUCCAUUGGGACGUCUUCCCCGCACAGGUUCGAAUCCUGUCGACUGCG